rnacentral:rRNA from 1 species
GAUGAACGCUAGCGACAGGCUUAACACAUGCAAGUCGAGGGACCGGCGCACGGGUGAGUAACACGUAUCCAACCUGCCCUUUACUCGGGGAUAGCCUUUCGAAAGAAAGAUUAAUACCCGAUAUAAAGGAUGGGGAUGCGUUACAUUAGGUUGUUGGUGAGGUAACGGCCCACCAAGCCUUCGAUGGCUAGUGGUUAGGAUAGGAAGGUCCCCGACAUUGGAACUACGACCCGGUCCAAACUGCUACGCGAGGCAGCAGUAAGGAAUAUUAGUGAAUGGGCGUUAGCCUGAACCAGCCAAGUAGCGUGAAAGAUGAAGGCGUAUGAGACGUAAUCUACUUUUAUAUAAGAAGCUGUAUUAUAUGAAGAAGGAUCGGCUAACUCCGUGCCAGCAGCCGCGGUAAUAC